UUACUGUAAUUAGCACUUUGCAAAAAGUGAGAACGAUUCGGCCCCAUUAACCUCCCUCCAUUCUGCACCAACCUUCACCUCGUUUUCUCACUCUACAUAUGCUACUUAAAAGUGAUUCCCCAGAUAAUUUUGGGAUGAAGGGGUAUCACAUUUCAUAUGAUACUUGCCACACGGCCCACACAACAUGGAAUCAUGCAUGCAUGCCACGGGAGCUUGUCUUAAAUCUUGACAUAUGAAGAUAAAAUUUCAUGUAAUCAUUUCUUGUUUUUCCAGUGUGGAGGGAUCUUUACCCCAAAAUGUUUUUUAACUGUUGAGUAGAUGAAGAAGAAGAAAACUUGAGGUCAAGAAAAAGCUCAUUUUCUGGUAGGGUUUGCUGCUGGUAGAGAGAGAGCAGGGCUCGAUGAUGGCAAGUGGAAACCAAAACCAGCAAGAAAUGCCUCAGAAUCUAAUGAUGCAGCUUGCUCUUGCUGUUAGAAGCAUUCAGUGGAGCUAUGCAAUCUUCUGGUCCGUUUCAUCCAGACAACCAGGGAUGUUGGAAUGGUGCGAAGGUUACUACAACGGUGAUAUCAAAACACGAAAGACAGUUCAGGCUGCUGAGGUGAACAUGGAUCAGUUGGGGCUACAGAGAAGUGAUCAAUUGAGAGAACUUUAUGAGUCUUUGUCUCUAGGCGAAACCAAACCUCAAGCUAAGAGGCCUACAGCUGCAUUAUCCCCCGAAGAUCUCACUGAUGCAGAGUGGUAUUUCUUGGUUUGCAUGUCUUUCAUGUUCAACACCACCGAUCAAGGGUUGCCUGCAAGAACAUUAGCUACGAAUCAAAUGAUAUGGCUCUGCAAUGCUCACCGGGCUGACACCAAAUUCUUCUCUCGUUCUUUGCUUGCGAAGAGUGCAUCAAUCAAGACUAUUGUGUGCUUUCCACAUUUAGGAGGCGUGGUUGAGCUCGGAACGACUGAACUAGUUCCAGAGGAUCCAAAUCUGAUUCGGCAUAUAAGUUCAUUCCUGGAGAGUCCUUCUGUGACUGUUCCUGUGAUUCCUAACCUUGUCUUUGACAACAGUUGUAACCAUAAUGGUUUCAAUCUUGAACGGCUCGACCAUGCUCAUCUUCCCGAAGAGGGUCUUGAUCGGCUCAUGGAUGAUCCAUACAUGGAGAUCUGUACUCCAAAUAACUCAGAUGAUUUUGCAGACAAUCUGCUGAGAGAGGAGACGAAUUUGGUGGAAGGCGUAGACGCUGAGGCUUCUGAAAUACAAAGCUGGCCAGUAAUGGAAGAUGCAGUCAGUAAUUGCUUAAAUAAUUCUGUGAAUUCCAGUGACUGUGUGUCUCAAAGCGAGGGAGAACCCGAGACGAUAAUCCCACAUUCGGAUGGGAAGAAGGAGAAUAAAAGCUGUAUGGAGGAAUGCAAUCAGAAGACAACCUCUGAAUUUCAAGGAAAUGAUGUUCGUUACCAGAGUGUUAUUUCCAACCUCCUGAAGAGUUCUCACCAGUUGAUUCUUGGUCCUUACAUCAGAAACGGGAGUAGAGAAUCGAGCUUCGUUUUCUGGAGGAAGCAUGGGGCUCCGGGACAACAAAGAGGAACCCCACAGAAGCUACUCAAGAAAGUACUCUUUGAAGUGGCUAGAAUGCAUCAAAGUUUCAGGGCUGAAUCUGAGAGGCAGCACAACAGCUGUUCCAAACGGGAAGCUGAUGAAAUCGAUAGAAACCAUGUCAUGUCUGAACGCAAGCGCAGAGAGAAAAUAAACGACAGAUUCAUGAUUCUUGGAUCCCUAGUCCCAUCUGGUGGAAAGGUUGACAAAGUAUCGGUGCUUGAUCACACGAUAGAGUACUUGAGAGAGCUCGAGAGAAGAGUUGAGGAGCUGGAGUCCUACAAGAAAGCAAUGGAGCGAGAGUCAACAACACACAGCAAAUCUCAGGAUGCCAUUGAGAGGACCUCUGAUAACUACGGUAAUGAUAACAAUCCAAAGAAGCCAGCAACGAACAAGAGAAAGGCAGCCUGUCAUAAUCAUAAGGACAGAACAGGAGCCGAAAACAUCAAAGCUCGGUUGAGAGACUCCUCCUCCCCUGCUGAUAACAUAACCGUCACUGUCUCAGACAAGGUCGCCUUGAUUGAGGUAACGUGUUCCUUGAAGGAGCACGUGUUGGUUGAAGUUAUGGAGACGCUGAGAAAGAUAUGUCUUGAGACUCAGACUAUCCAAUCAUCCACCAACAACGGGACCCUCUCUAUCAUUGUGAAUGCCAAGUGCAAGGGACUGAAAUCUCCAUCAGCAGUAGUGAUCAGACAUGCUCUUCAGAAAGUUAUCAGGAAGAGUUGAAGAUGUUUUCUCAGAAUCUGUGUGUAGCUUGUGUGUGAGAACCUCUAAUUAGCCCAGCAGCCGCUCCGAGAUGAGAUCUGAAUAAAUCUCGCUCAUAUAUCGUGGGAAAGAUAAAUCGUCGUUGCAU